GUGUUUUCAUGCAAAGAUUUGUGCUUUUGGUUUCUAGUUGGAUUCACUAUUUGCUGGAUGACUGAUGCUGUUUCUAUAGUUAAAUAAUGGAAUACUUAGAUCUAGGCUUAGAUUAGAUGUUAUUUACUUGUAUCUGUCUAUUGUCGAUGUCGCAUAUAUGGUUUUCACCUUUUACUUUUGCUCAGCUCUUGAGGCUUGCCUUUUGCACUUCUUUCUUCAAAAAAAGGAUGAUAAAAGCUUGCAUAUUUUUCCCUGCUUAGAAGGGUAACAUGAAGUUUAAUGGUUUGAAUAAUAUUAUGAUGUAGUAGGUGUGGAUAAGUGAUCAUUAGCUGCUAGUCAUUGCAGAUAGUUAGAAGUUCACUUCUCUUUUUUGGUGUUUAUCUUUAGUUAGUAGUUCACUUAUUUUUUUGGUGUUUAUCUUUUAGAUCACUAAGAGAUGGAACAUUUUUUAACCCAAAAUUACAGCCCCACCUAAUCUUGGCUCUUUUUGGUGCUUGUUGUCACCAUCAUUGAAUGCCCCAAUUUUGAGAGUUGAGACAAAGCAAUUUGCAUCUUGAGAAACAAGAGCUCUGUUUGUUCCUCUGUUAGGCAAUGCAACAAGUUCAUAUAUACAAUGUCUUCCUCAAAAAUGCAAUUGUCUUUGUCCCACAAAGCAGUCCACUCCAAUCAUUUGAGGAAUUCAUUAUUAUCACUAUUGACAUAGUUGUGUGCUUGACAAACUAAGUUUAAAAUGAAAAGAAGAAAGAUGAUGAUAUGAGUAUUGCUAGGUGAUUAACUCAUUUGGGAAUGCAAGGAGCUAUGGUUCAAUGGCUUCUAGAGACGGCUUCGUCAGUGAUGUUGGUUGUAUGUGGUUUAUUCAGUCUUGGUAGAAAAUUUUGAUAGGCAAUAAAUAGUCUGUUUACUUGCUUUCUACCAGUAGUUGGACAUAGUAGACAAAGCAUUUUAGAUCUUGAGAAAGAGGAAGUCUGUUUGUUCUCCUCUGGUAGGCACCAUAACAAGCUUUUACAAUUUCUCUUACAAAUGCAAAUGUAGUUGUGCUGCUCAAAGCAAUCCUUUUAUUGGGGAAUUUCUAUUGUUCAUUAUUGACGAAGGUACACACUUGAAAAUUAACCCAUUUCAAAAUAAAGAAGAAAUAACAUGAUAUAAGCACCACCAAGUACUUAAAAAAUUUGGGGACGUAAUGACCUAUAGCUCAGUAACUGCUAGAAGAGGUCCAGCAAUGUUGUUUGUCCAGCAAUCUUGGUUGUAUGUUUGUUGUUUGGUUUGAGUGACUUUUGGUUAGGAAUUAGGACAUUAUUAAUUUUCAAUUAUGAGUGUAUCUUAAUUAGUUGGAGUAGACAAUAUCAUUGGCAGACGAUGACUAGGCUAUUUACUUGCUUUCUUUUGCUUCUUAACCACUGUAUGGGAAAUAUUCUAGUAUCAUUUACAGGUAGGUGCUACUAAUUUCAGUUCUGAUCGCAGCAUCUCUAAUUCUGAAGACGCAUGUUUUCUAUAAGUUAGGCUAGUGAUGCCAUCAGUGUAAUUUCUUUGUUAUCAUAAACAUGUGUAACUAAACAAAAAUCUGACCUUUUGUGUUGAUCAAUAAAGUAAAAACUGUGGGCCUGGGUGGAUGAUCAUGUUGUUUAUUUUCCCUAGGAUAUAUUAAUUUCUUUUUACCAGUAUUGAAGGGGUGGGCAUGCGGAGAUUUGUCUAGUCUGUAGUCAUCUUGGAGCUUCGGUCUCUGUCAUGUUCUCACCAGAACAUUUCACCUCCUAGAGUGUCGCUCAACUUAUUCAAUACAUAUUGCAUGUUUCUUGUGAUCCUCAAUGAGCAUUCUCUCAGGAUUAGUGAUAACCUCUGUAACAAAUAUAGAUAUGGCUACUUCAGCAUCUGCUCAGAAUGUUACUUAGGCAGUCAAAUGCCCAUGAUGAGUGCAAUCUUAGUCUGUUCUCUAUUUUUUUUGCUGUCAGGCUUUAGCCUUUAGAUGUCUGUUUAUUUUCUUACAUGAUCUGGAAUGGACCAUAUGCAUUGUGUUGUCUUUUUAAUUCUUCAUGUUUCAAAAUGUCACGUCUAUUUUUGUUUAAUUCCCUUGUAAAAGGGCGAUUGCUUUCAAAUUCCAUCCUUAUAGAUAACAUUUUGUUAUUUAAGGGGAAAUGGAUUACAAGUUUGUUUCAUCUCUUAAAUGAAAUUUCAGUUAUGUUCUUUUUCUUAUUUAUUCCUUUCUGCUAUGCACAGGUUCAUCUGUAACCCGCGAGACA
rnacentral:misc_RNA from 1 species